GCGGGGAUGGCGAAAUUGGUAGACGCACCAGGUUUAGGUCCUGACGUCCGCAAGGAUGUGCCGGUUCGAGUCCGGCUCUCCGCACCA
rnacentral:tRNA from 1 species